UGGCACUGAAGUUGGUAGGCAUAUUCUCCAAGUAUUAGUAGAUGAAGUUGUUUUGGACCUCUACAGUUCUAGCUAAAUUUGGAUGGAACUGUUUGUAGCUCCUCUUUUUGAGAGUUUGUAGUAAGCCUAUCAGUGUUCUCAUGUGAUACUCUGGCCUCAAUAAUUUCAAGCAAAGUAUUUUGUACAAAUCAUAUAUUCUGCAUCUUAUAUUCCUAUUUAUUCAUGAAUGAGCAUCUUAUAUUCCUCUUUUUGAGAGUUUGUAGUAAGCCUAUCAGUGUUCUCAUGUGAUAACUCUGGCCUCAAUAAUUUCAAGCAAAGUAUUUUGUACAAAUCAUAUAUUCUGCGUCUUAUAUUCCUAUUUAUUCAUGAAUGAGCAUUUAAGAACAGUACCAAUUGACAGGCACAAAAUGAAAAAUGGUUGAAAUGUAAGAACAAUUAGAAGG
rnacentral:lncRNA from 1 species